rnacentral:lncRNA from 1 species
CGCUGCGGUCUCUCUCCCUCUCUCUCCACCCCCCCUCCCCUCCCCGGCUCAGCGGCGGUGGGAAUCGUAGCAGCAGCAGCACCGUUCCCGCCGCCCUCGUGGGCCGCGAGCGCCCCCCCUCGCUGUUGCCUGCUUGCUCUCCCGCCGCCCUUCUCUCUGGGGAACGCGGCGGAGACGCUCGAGCGAGUCGUCGGCGGGCGCCCACGGAGGGAGCUGCCGAGCGAGAGAGGGGCGGGAAAGGCGAGAGGAAGGAAGGGGGAAGUGUGGAGAGGAGGAGCCGGGCGUGCGAAGGAGAGAAAGACUUGAGAAGCGAGCGGAGGCAAGGGAAAGAAAGAAAGGAAGGAAGAAAGAAAGAAAGAAAGAAAAGGAGGAAAGCGGGGAAAAGCUCAAGGAAGCGCCGCUUUUUAACCCACCCACCCCCACCGUGUGCGGCGGCUCAAGGAGCAGCGACGGCGGCGCUAACGGGGGGCUGCGGCAGGCGCUGCUGCUGCUGCUACUACGGCAUCCGGGGCCCGGCCUACGAAGCGGACGCAGGAGAAGCCGGAGGUGGUGGGGGGUGGUGAGAGGGAUCGGCCUCCCGCUUCGGAAGAACCAAGCCAGGCUGCUGCGCAGGCACUGCGGCCCCGUUGUUGCUCUUAGCCGCCGCCGCCGCCGCCCCCUCGAGAGGGCAGGAAGUGACUCUAAAGCCGGGACUGGGUGGUGUGUGUGUGUGAAGCACCUGAAACCGCGUAUUCGUUGGGGCGGAAAGAGGGCGAAGACGCCGAGACCCACCGAAGACCGCCUUUCCCUCCCUUGGAAAAGUGAAACGGCGGGGAGGGAAAGAGGGGAAAACAAGUGUCCCCCCCCCUCCCCUCCAGGCCCGCUUCUCUCUGGCCUCCUUUCGGUCGUGUCCCGUGGCCCUCGCCGAGGUUGGCCUUUCCCUCCUCGGCUUCUCUCCUCUUCUUUUGAACUCGAGAAAACUUGGUUUGGAUCUAAAGCGUCGCGGAGUGGCGAAAGGGAUCCCGCUUGUAGAUGGAGGAAACCUGGACGGCCGAAGUGUAAGAUAUAUGGAAGCACAAUCCAGAAAAAGAAAAAGCAGAAAACAAAAAUAAACAGAAAAGAGACUUAACAAGCUACGUAAAACAGUGUAAAAAUUUCAAAGUAACAUAAAGUUAGUGCUGUAUGUAAAAGUGAUCAAAACCAUUAUUAAAAUAGGUGAUGAUUUAAUAAUUAACAAAGCUAAGCAAUAUAAUAGCAAUAACACUUAGACUUAUAUACCGC